rnacentral:rRNA from 5 species
AGGUUUCCGUAGGUGAACCU